CCUACGGGAGGCAGCAGUGAGGAAUAUUGGUCAAUGGGAGAGAUCCUGAACCAGCCAAGCCGCGUGAGGGAAGACGGCCCUAUGGGUUGUAAACCUCUUUUGUCGGAGAACAAAACCCGGGACGUGUCCCGGACUGCGUGUAUCCGAAGAAAAAGCAUCGGCUAACUCCGUGCCAGCAGCCGCGGUAAUACGGAGGAUGCGAGCGUUAUCCGGAUUUAUUGGGUUUAAAGGGUGCGUAGGCGGUCCGUUAAGUCAGCGGUAAAAGUGCGGGGCGCAACCCUGUCGAGCCGUUGAAACUGGCAGACUUGAGUUGGCGAGAAGUACGCUGAAUGCGCGGUGUAGCGGUGAAAUGCAUAGAUAUCGCGCAGAACUCCGAUUGCGAAGGCAGCGUACCGGCGCCAGACUGACGCUGAGGCACGAAAGCGUGGGGAUCGAACAGGAUUAGAUACCCCGGUAGUC
rnacentral:rRNA from 1 species